UCGAACUCACGAACCUCGAGAUCACGACCUGAGCCAAAUCGGACGCUCUGUCAACUGAGCCACCCAGGCACCCCCGUGAAGACCUUUAAUUAAUGCCUUGGAAUUGCACAGUUGAAUAAGACAAUAAGCCCUCCAAGCCUUGCAUGCUCUGGUCCCCAGCUACCUUCCCUGCCUCACUUUGACCCCUCUCACCCUGAGCUCCUGCCACCCUGGCCCUUUGCCACCUCCACAGAUGCCCAAACUUCUUCCCUUCCUCCGGACCUCUGCACACCCCGUCCCUUUUACCUGGCUUGCUGCUCCCUUUCUCCUGACCUGCUAACACCAAGCGUCCUGCAGACCUCAGCUUAAAUAGCGCUUCCCUGCGAAGCCCUCCCUGACUACCGUCGCUCGGCUCGGAGCCUGGCUCUCCCAUCCGUGAGGGCAUUCAGCACAACCUGCCAUCGUGCAUUUAUGGGAGAGCUUGUUUUCGAUCCACCGGGGCAGGGACGGCUGAAGCCUCAGCGUCAAGAGCAGGGCCCGGCACACUGUAGGUGCUCAAUAAAUACGUGUUGACUGAGCAAUGAAUUCAAGAUGACUUUUUGGAAGGAAACAACAAGGAAGUGGACCUGACUUCACCGAGGGCACGCGUAAGACCCAGAUGGGUCCGCUCCCACCCCCACCAGCGUUCUGUUCCAGUCGUACGUGGUCCCGAGACCAACAGGUGGACUCCUUGGGUUUCUGGGGAGGAAUUUCACACUGCCCUGUCUCCUCUGCUGUGUUUCCGUUUCUGGCAUUUCCGGAGCACCUCCCACGAGCCAGGCGGUGUGCUCGGCUCUGGGGAUGCAGGCCUGAUUUCCUGAACCCUUCCCACUCUGCUCCCGGCCCCCGGCAGCUGCAGCCCAGCCCCUCCCUCCCAGCCCCUCUUCCGUUUCCUCACCCUGGGAUUCCUGGAUCCCGACAGAAUCUAAAAAGGCUCCCCUUUAAACAGACCAUUUGGACUGAGAAACCCUGAGCUGACGUAUCUGAUCUGACUCUUCCCAUUUCGCCCCACGAGAUAAGACGGAUUCACAUUCCUUUUGUACAGUCUCGGGCUUCUUCGUCUUUCCUCCCCACUCCCCGCAGGCCUUGGGGGUCUGAGCGCAGCUCCCCCUUCACGCUUGUCCAGGGCUGUAUUUUCAUCUCCUAGGUCUCUGCUCCACUGGUCUGUGGAACCCACAGCGUCGCCGGACGCACUCUGCUGGUAAGGACGGAAACUGGUACAGCCCCCAAGGAACGCCAUUUGGCAAUAUCUAUCCAAGUUAGAAAUGCGUAUACCUUCUGGCCCAGUAACGUCACUUCUGGGAAUUUGUCUUAAAGAUACACUUGCACACGUGCAAAAUGAUGUGCUGGGAAAGAUCUUGAGAAGAGAUGGCGAGGUGAAAACACACAUGCAAAGGUGACAACAGGCCUGUGUUAUGCUGCCUUUGGAUUACAAAGGAAGAAACUAAGAUUUCCUUGCACUUACAUACCUACCGGACCUGAGAAAGGACACCCAGAAUCAGAAACCAGAAAAGGAAGAAGGGGGGGGGAGAUGUCUCACUGAAUACAGUUUUACGUGUUUGUAUUUCUAAUGAUGUGAACGCACUGCACACUAAAAUUCAGGGAAGGUACUCUUAAAUCUGAGUUUAUCC